rnacentral:lncRNA from 1 species
CCAGUACAAAAGAAAAUUUUCAACCCCAUGGGCUGAAGUUAGGUGAAAAAGCGGGUAUGCUUCCAAUGUUUUUCAAAGCGGGCACAAGUUAAAAUGUGACACAAAACACGGGUAUACAUGCAAAAGCCCCUGCUUACAUCCAGUAAAGUCUCGAAUCCACUUUUAAUCUAGUGGGAAGGGGGUCCUGUUAGGAAGCGUGUCAAGAUAAUAGAAGGGAAAGAAUAUUUAGGAGAGAAAAGCAAUAAGUUGCACUACAAAUGAAAAUGUAGACCCUAUUUAUAGGCAUUUGGAAUGUCUUGCCGAGGUAAGCACUUACGUCACAAGAAUGCUAAUGUAAGCACGUACAUCACAUGAAUGCUUACGUAAACUGUGGUUCGGCAAUUGUUGUCUACUCCACGGCCACAGAAAGAAUAGCUCUUUAUUACUUGAAGAGAGAAAGAAGAAGUUUUUGGGAUGAUCUACAAAUGAAAAUGUAGACCCAUAUUUGUAGGCGUUUGGAAUGACCUGCCAAGGUAAGCGCUUACAUUAUAAGAAUGCUGAUGUAAGCGCUUUCAUCACAAGAAUGUUGAGGUAAGCGCUUACGUUGGCAUUUGGAAUGUCCUAUCGAGGUAAGCGCUUACAUCAUAAAAAUGUUGAUGUAAGCGCUUACAUAAUAAUAAUGCUGAGGUAAGCAUUUACACACAAGAAUAUCGAUGUAAGCGCUUACAUCAUAUUUCAUCUCUUUUUUAUUUUUCUUUCUUUUGUCUAUUUUCACAUACAACAAUUGGUUUGCUCCUAUCAAUCUUCCCCUCAAACAUAUGUUACAUCAAGAAAGGAAAAAAAAGAUUUUCUAUUCUCUGGUGGCGCCUUCAUGCUAUCAAUAUUGAAGGCUAACUUAGGCAGUGCACGGCCUUAGUUUGUCAAUACCGACAACUUUGGUCAAUAUGUCUGACAGGUUCUUUGAUCCUGGUAUCUUCUGCAGGGAAAGAGUUCCUUCGUUUAUCAACUCUCGGAUAUGAUGAUACCUCAACUGGAUAUGCUUCGAUCUUGCAUCAAACACUGGAUUCUUGGCAAGAUGAAUUGCACUCUGGCUAUCGCUGAAAAGUUCGCAAUUGUCAUGUUCUUUACCUAAUGGAUAUGCUUCGAUCUUGCAUGAAACACUGGAUUUUUGGCAAGAUGAAUUGCACUCUGGCUAUCGCUGAAAAGCUCACAAUUAUCUUGCUCUUUACCUAGCUCUUUAAGAAAAUUCUUGAGCCACAUCAUCUCUUUUCCAGCUUCUGAGAUUGCCAUGUACUCUGCUUCAAUGGUAGAUAAAGCAACACAUUUCUGAAGUCUGGACAUCCAACACUCAGCAGUGCCACCCAAGGUGAACACGUAUCUCGUGGUACUUUUUCGACUAUCCAGAUCACCGCCUAAAUUUGCAUCAGCAAAACCUUGUAAGAUAGUAUUGAUCAUUUUAAAACAAAGUGUCAUACCUGAGGUGCCUUUGAGAUAUUAUAAUAUCCAUUUUACACCUUCCCAAUGUCCUUUCCUGGAUCUGACAUGUAUCUGUUGACGACUCCAACAACAUGAACUAUGUCAGGUUCAUACCUGAGGUGCCCUUGAGAUAUUGCAAUAUCCAUUUUACACCUUCCCAAUGCUCCUUUCUUGGAUCUGACAUGUAUCUGCUGACAACUCCAAAAGCAUGAGCUAUGUCAGGUCUAGUGCAAACCAUAGCAUACACCAAACUCCCUACUGCUUAAGCAUACGAAACUUUGGACAUGUACUUCCUUUCUUCAUCUGUCUUAGGUGAUUGGUCCUUUGACAGAUUUAGAUGGCUUCCGAGUGGAGUGCUUCUGGUCUUUGCAUCAUGAAGAUUGAACGUGCUUAGUACCUUCGGUAUGUACUUUUCUUGAGACACCUUUAAGGUUCCUUCCGACCUUUUCUAUUCCGAGUGGAGUGCUUAUGGUCUUUGCAUCAUGAAGACUGCACCUGCUUAGUACCUUCUGUAUGUACUUUUCUUAAGACAACUUUAAGGUUCCUUUCGACCUGUUUCUGCUAAUCCUCAUCCCAAGCAUUUGCUUUGCUAGUCCUAAGUCUUUCAUUUCAAACUCCUCUGCCAGUUGUUGCUUAACCAAGUUGAUCUCAUUUAUGCUAGAUCCUGCAAUUAGCAUAUCAUCAACGUACAACAGUAAAAUGAUAUAGGAUUCAUCAAGAUUUUUGAAUAACAACAAUGGUCCAUCUCAUAUCGUGUGAAACUAAUUUUAUGCAUGAAUCCACUAAAUUUUUUGUACCAUUGUCGGGGAACUUGUUUCAAACCAUACAUUCAACUUACACACAAGGUUUUCUUUACCAGAAACUUGAAAACCUUCAGAUUGCUUCAUGUAAAUGUCUUCUUCAAGGUCGCCAUGCAAGAAAGAAGUUUUAACAUCUAGCUGCUCCAAAUGUAAAUUUUCUGCAGCUACGAUACUUAGCACCAACCUAAUAGUAGUUAAUUUGACUAAGGGGAGAAGAUCUCGGUGUGGUCAAUUCCUUUCUUCUGCUAGCCUUUUACUACUAAUCGUGCUUUCUAUCUCUUCUUACCAUCAUGCUCUUCUUUGACUCUGUACACCCACUUGUUCUGCAAUGUCUUCUUUCCUUUUGGCAACUCCGUAAGUAUCCAUGUUUUAUUCUUUUGAAGAGAAUUCAUCUCUUCUUUCAUGGCUAUCUUCCACUUAUCAGAGUCUAUCACCUGCAUUGCUUCAACAAAAUGCUCAAGUUCUCCAGCAUCAGUUAGAACUAAAUAGUGAAGAGAGAGAGUUAACCUAUCUGGAGGAUUCGUAACUCUUUUAGAUCUCCUCAAUAUAGGUUCAUGAGUAACAAAAUCCGAAUUUGAUUCAUGUCCUAAUUUCUGAUUUGGUUCUAUAUUUGAUUCUAUCUCUAGUUCUGGUUCUGGUUCUGAUCCAGGUUCGGCUUCUAGUUUUCUUCAAAUUCGGCUUCUGAUUCUUCAUCUUCAAUUUCAGAAUCAUGUGUAAUCCCUCUAGCCACUUCAUUUUCUAAGAUUUCUUCUAACUCAACUAUUUCAGACAUUGUCUAUUUGCUGGUGUUGGUUGGUUCUACUUCAAGCUUGUCCUUAUACAUCACAUUUUCAUUAAAUGUGACAUUCUUGUGUCUUAGGAUCUUUCUAUUCUGAUCAUCCCAAAACUGAUACCAAAACUGUCAUCACCAUAAUCAAUAAAGAAACAUUUCUUGGCUUUAGGAUCAAAGCUUAUCUCUAUCAUUAGAGUUUACAUGCACAUAAGCAACACAACAAAAAAAUUCAAAUGUGAGAGAGUUACCUCAUUUCCUAUCCAUACCUCCUCAAGAAAUUCAAAAUUCAGUGGUAUGGAGGGUCCCCUAUUUAUGAGGUAAGCUGUCGUGUUAACAGCCUCAGCCCAAAAAUAUUUUGGCAAUCCAGAAUGUAUUCUCAAACUUCUUGCUCGUUCAUUCAGGGUUCGAUUCAUCCUCUCAACAACGCCAUUUUUGUUCCAGUGUUCCAGGAGCUGUCUUAAUCAUUCUGAUCCCAUUCUCCGAGCAAAAUGCUUUGAACUCUCGACUAUUAUACUCUCCUCCAUUGUCAGACUUCAGACAUUUUAACUUUAGGCUUGUCUAAUUUUCAACUUCAGCUUUCCAUCUAUUAAAGUUAACAAACACAUCAGAUUUAUUUUUCAAAAAAUAAACCCAUACCUUUCUUGUGGAAUCGUCCAUGAAGGUGACAUAAUAGCGUGAACCCCAUAGAGAAGUUACAGGAGUUGGUCCCCACACAUCUGUAUGAACUAGUUCCAGCUUCUCUUUCUUUGGCUUCCUUCCCACCUUUGAGAAACUAACUCUCUUUUGUUUCCCGUAAAUGCAAUCAUCGCACAAACCUAAUUCAACAUGUUUUAGAUUUGGAAAUUUUUCUUUGGAUGCCAAAAGCUUCAUUCCCUUCUCACUCAUAUGCCCAAGCCUCGGUGCCAUAAUGUUGUAUCACGAUCAUGAUCAACUGCUGCUAUAGUAUCACUUUCUAUUGCAGUUGCAUACAGUGUUCCCUUUUGAAGCCUCAUGCCACAACUUGAUUCCCUUUGGUUAUCUUCCACGAUCCAUUGCGCUUUUUUUUCAUAUUCAUAUUUAUAUCCUCUACAACCAUUGUUGGGACGGACUUUCGUGGAAAAGAAAAAAGACCUUUAUCGGAUUGGAAGCGAUGACUUAAGCCUCUUUCUUCUUCUUUUCUUAUAGGGCGUUUAAAGAGCGUGACUCUUUAGUUUAAUUAAGUUCAAAUUAGUUAAAUUAAAAGGCCCCAUUUGAUUCAAUUCAUGAAUUAGCCCACUAUGAGUCUACUACAUUUUAUUUAUAUAAUAAUUAUAUAUAAUUAGAUAAUAAUAAUAAUUAAGUAUAUCAUUCGUGUCUCUGGAAUGUUGUUGUAUAUCCUUCAUCGUCAAUCUGACCCAUCGAUAUCAAAUUUUUCUUGAGGCCAGAAACAUGUCGUACAUUUUGCAAUUUUCAUAGGGUGCCUUAUGAAGUCAUUAUAUGAACCUCACCUUUUCCGACAAUGUCGAAAGGUUUGUCGUCUGCUAGAUAACUUUUCCAAAUUUUCCAUCAAUAUAAUUAUGCAAUAAUUCUUUGCAUGAUGUAGAGUGAAAGGAUGCACCUGAAUCCAGAAUCCAAGAUUCGACUGGACUGUUUGCACAACAAAUUAGUGCAUCACCGAAUUGUUCAGCAAUUACAUUUGCUGAAUUUUCUUCCUUCUUCUUCUAUUGGACUUUUUGCACAACAAAUUAGUGCAUCACCAACUUGUUCAGCAAUUACAUUUUCUGAAUUUUCUUCUUUCUUCUUCUUUGGUUCUCUAUACCGGCUACUUAAGUGACCCUUUUUAUCGCAAUUCCAACAAGUAAUGUCCUUGCGAUUUUUGGAUUGUCCUCUUCUCCUUGACUUUGAUCUGCCACGACCAUAACUUUGUCCUCUUUGGUUGAUUCUCCCCCUGCUUUCGGUACUAAAAGCAUAUCCUGGGGAAUCACUUGAUUCUUCUCGGCGAAUAUCUUCACUUAGAACCAAGUCUCUGAUAUCAUUCAAUUUGAAUUUGGUACUUCCUGAUGAACUGCUAAGUGCAAUUGCUGUUGCAGACCAACUCUCUGGUAGAGAUGAUAGUAGAAUUAACGCCCUAAUUUCGUCAUCAAUUGUUAUGUUAACGGAACUCAACUGAGUUAAUAUUGUAUUAAGCUCAUUAAUAUGUUAUGUGACUGAUCCACCUUCUGCAAUCUUCAAGUUGAACAAUCGACGCAUCAAACAGACUUUAUUUGAAGCAGAUGGCUUCUGGUAUAUAUUUGAUAACGCCUUCAUCAGGCCUGCAGUGGUCUUCUCGUUAAUGAUGUUAAACGCCACAUUUCAUGUUAGCGUCAAAUGAAUCACAUCAAGAGCUUGACGAUCUAAUAGAUCCCAAUCCACUUUUGACAUAGUCUCGGGUUUUACCUCGAUCAGAGGUAAGUGUAGUUUUUUAUGGUACAAAUAAUCUUCUAUUUGCAUUUUUCAUAAUCCAAAAUCUUUGCCAUUGAACUUGUCAAUCUUAAAUUUCCCUUCUUCCGAUGCCAUUUUUCACAAAAAAUUUAUGUGAAUAGUAUCUGCACCAAUACUGUAUUUUUCUACUAGAAAUAUAUUGUCUGUGCUUUGAUACCAGUUGUUAGGAAGCGUGUCAAGAUAAUAGAAGGGAAAGAAUAUUUAGGAGAGAAAAGCAAUAAGUUGCACAAGACAAAACAAGACAAGAUUUAUGUGGUUCGGCAAUUGUUGUCUACUCCACGGCCACAGAAAGAAUAGCUCUUUAUUACUUGAAGAGAGAAAGAAGAAGU